AGUGAACGCUGGCGGUAUGCCUAACACAUGCAAGUCGAACGGCAGCACAGUAAGAGCUUGCUCUUACGGGUGGCGAGUGGCGGACGGGUGAGGAAUACAUCGGAAUCUACUUUUUCGGGGGGGAUAACGUAGGGAAACUUACGCUAAUACCGCAUACGACCUACGGGUGAAAGCAGGGGAUCUUCUGACCUUUCGCGAUGGAAUGAGCCUAUGUCGGAUUAGCUAGUUGGCGGGGUAAAGGCCCACCAAGGCGACGAUGCGUAGCUGAUCUGAGAGGAUGAUCAGCCACACUGGAACUGAGACACGGUCCAGACUCCUACGGGAGGCAGCAGUGGGGAAUCUUGGACAAUGGGCGAAAGCCUGAUACAGCAAUACCGCGUGGGUGAAGAAGGACUUCGGGUUGUAAAGCCCUUUUGUUGGGAAAGAAAAGCAGCAGGUUAAUACCCCGCUGUUCUGACGGUACCCAAAGAAUAAGCACCGGCUAACUUCGUG
rnacentral:rRNA from 1 species